rnacentral:rRNA from 1 species
GCGGCCACUGCUAUCAAGUUCCGACUAAGCCAUGCGAGUCAAGGUAUCGUAAGAUGCCGGCAAACUGCUCAGUAACACGUGGAUAAUCUAACCUUGAGUAAGGGAUAACUUCGGGAAACUGAAGGUAAUACCUUAUAAUUGCUUAAAACUGGAAUGUUUUUGCGAUAAAAGUUACGACGCUCAAGGAUGAGUCUGCGACCUAUCAGGUAGUAGGUGGUGUAAUGGACCACCUAGCCUCAGACGGGUACGGGCCCUGGGAGGGGUAGCCCGGAGAUGGACUCUGAGACAUAAGUCCAGGCCCUACGGGGCGCAGCAGGCGCGAACACUGUGCAAUGCGCGAAAGCGCGACACGGGGAGCUUGAGUGUCUUGGCAUAGCCAAGACUUUUCUCAUUCCUAAAAAGCAUGAGGAAUAAGUGCUGGGUAAGACGGGUGCCAGCCGCCGCGGUAACACCCGCAGCACGAGUAGUGGUCACUUUUAUUGAGCCUAAAGCGUUCGUAGCCGGUUUUGUAAAUCUUCAGAUAAAGCCUGAAGCUUAACUCCAGAAAGUCUGAAGAGACUGCAAGACUUGAGAUCGGGUGAGGUUAAACGUACUUUCAGGGUAGGGGUAAAAUCCUGUAAUCCCGGAAGGACGACCAGUGGCGAAAGCGUUUAACUAGAACGAAUCUGACGGUAAGGAACGAAGGCUAGGGUAGCAAACCGGAUUAGAUACCCGGGUAGUCCUAGCUGUAAACAUUGCCCAUUUGAUGUUGCUUUUCCGUUGAGGGAAGGCAGUGUCGGAGCGAAGGUGUUAAAUGGGCCGCUUGGGAAGUAUGGUCGCAAGACUGAAACUUAA